rnacentral:rRNA from 1 species
AUUGCCCCAGUAACGGCGAGUGAAGCGGCAACAGCUCAAAUUUGAAAUCUGGCCCCCAGGGUCCGAGUUGUAAUUUGCAGAGGAUGCUUUUGGCGAGGUGCCUUCCGAGUUCCCUGGAACGGGACGCCAUAGAGGGUGAGAGCCCCGUCUGGUUGGACACCGAGCCUCUGUAAAGCUCCUUCGACGAGUCGAGUAGUUUGGGAAUGCUGCUCUAAAUGGGAGGUAUAUGUCUUCUAAAGCUAAAUAUUGGCCAGAGACCGAUAGCGCACAAGUAGAGUGAUCGAAAGAUGAAAAGCACUUUGAAAAGAGGGUUAAAUAGUACGUGAAAUUGUUGAAAGGGAAGCGCUCAUGACCAGACUUGGGCCCGGUGAAUCAUCCAGCGUUCUCGCUGGUGCACUUUGCCGGGCUCAGGCCAGCAUCAGUUUGCUCCGGGGGAUAAAGGCUUUGGGAAUGUGGCUCCUCCGGGAGUGU